GACGAACGCUGGCGGCGUGCUUAACACAUGCAAGUCGAGCGGUAAGGCCCUUUCGGGGGUACACGAGCGGCGAACGGGUGAGUAACACGUGGGUGACCUGCCCUCAGCUCUGGGAUAAGCCCGGGAAACUGGGUCUAAUACCGGAUAUGACUCCAUGACGCAUGUUGUGGGGUGGAAAGCCUUGUGCGGCUGAGGAUGGGCCCGCGGCCUAUCAGCUCGUUGGUGGGGUGAUGGCCUACCAAGGCGACGACGGGUAGCCGGCCUGAGAGGGCGACCGGCCACACUGGGACUGAGACACGGCCCAGACUCCUACGGGAGGCAGCAGUGGGGAAUCUUGCGCAAUGGGCGAAAAGCCUGAACGCAGCGACGCCGCGUGAGGGAUGACGG
rnacentral:rRNA from 1 species